CCUACGGGAGGCAGCAGUGAGGAAUAUUGGUCAAUGGUCGCGAGCCUGAACCAGCCAAGUAGCGUGAAGGAUGACUGCCCUACGGGUUGUAAACUUCUUUUAUAAAGGAAUAAAGUGCGGCACGUGUGCCUUUUUGUAUGUACUUUAUGAAUAAGGAUCGGCUAACUCCGUGCCAGCAGCCGCGGUAAUACGGAGGGUCCGAGCGUUAUCCGGAUUUAUUGGGUUUAAAGGGAGCGUAGAUGGGUUGUUAAGUCAGUUGUGAAAGUUUGUGGCUCAACCGUGGAAUUGCAAUUGAUACUGGCAGGCUUGAGUACAGUUGAGGUAGGCGGAAUUCGUGGUGUAGCGGUGAAAUGCUUAGAUAUCACGAAGAACUCCGAUUGCGAAGGCAGCUUACGAAACUGCCACUGACAUUGAUGCUCGAAAGUGUGGGUAUCAAACAGGAUUAGAUACCCCAGUAGUC
rnacentral:rRNA from 1 species